GUUAAGUGGGAAACGAUGUGGGAAGGCCCAGACAGCCAGGAUGUUGGCUUAGAAGCAGCCAUCAUUUAAAGAAAGCGUAAUAGCUCACUGGUCGAGUCGGCCUGCGCGGAAGAUGUAACGGGGCUAAACUAUGCACCGAAGCUGCGGCAGCGACACUAUGUGUUGUUGGGUAGGGGAGCGUUCUGUAAGCCUGUGAAGGUGUGUCGUGAGGCAUGCUGGAGGUAUCAGAAGUGCGAAUGCUGACAUAAGUAACGAUAAAGCGGGUGAAAAGCCCGCUCGCCGGAAGACCAAGGGUUCCUGUCCAACGUUAAUCGGGGCAGGGUGAGUCGACCCCUAAGGCGAGGCCGAAAGGCGUAGUCGAUGGGAAACGGGUUAAUAUUCCCGUACUUGGUGUUACUGCGAAGGGGGGACGGAGAAGGCUAUG
rnacentral:rRNA from 1 species